rnacentral:rRNA from 1 species
UGGGGAAUAUUGGACAAUGGGCGCAAGCCUGAUCCAGCCAUGCCGCGUGAGUGAUGAAGGCCCUAGGGUUGUAAAGCUCUUUCACCGGUGAAGAUAAUGACGGUAACCGGCGAAGAAGCCCCGGCUAACUUCGUGCCAGCAGCCGCGGUAAUACGAAGGGGGCUAGCGUUGUUCGGAUUUACUGGGCGUAAAGCGCACGUAGGCGGACUUUUAAGUCAGGGGUGAAAUCCCGGGGCUCAACCCCGGAACUGCCUUUGAUACUGGAAGUCUUGGGUAUGGUAGAGGUGAGUGGAAUUCCGAGUGUAGAGGUGAAAUUCGUAGAUAUUCGGAGGAACACCAGUGGGGAAGGCGGCUCACUGGACCAUUACUGACGCUGAGGUGCGAAAGCGUGGGGAGCAAACAGG